rnacentral:rRNA from 1 species
AACGAACGCUGGCGGCGUGCUUAACACAUGCAAGUCGAACGAGAAAGCCUUCGGGUGAGUACAGUGGCGCACGGGUGAGUAACACGUAGGUGACCUGCCUUAUAGUUUGGGACAACCAGGAGAAAUCCUGGCUAAUACCGGAUGUGAACAACAAAUUUGAAAGUAGUUGUUGAAAGAAUGCCUCUAUACUAUGCAUUCGCUAUUUGAUGGGCCUGCGGGACAUUAGUUUGAUGGUGGGGUAACGGCCUACCUUGGCUUCGAUGUCUAGCGGAUUUGAGAGAAUGAUCCGCCACACUGGAACUGAGACACGGUCCAG